rnacentral:rRNA from 1 species
AUUGAACGCUGGCGGCAGGCUUAACACAUGCAAGUCGAGCGGGGACUUCGGUCCUAGCGGCGAACGGGUGAGAAAUGCUUGGGAAUCUGCCCAGUAGCGGGGGAUAACGUUUCGAAAGGAACGCUAAUACCGCAUACGCCCUACGGAGGAAAGGGGGGGAUCUUCGGACCUCUCACUAUUGGAUGAGCCCAAGUCGGAUUAGCUAGUUGGUGGGGUAAAGGCCUACCAAGGCGACGAUCCGUAGCUGGUCUGAGAGGAUGAUCAGCCACACUGGAACUGGGACGCGGUCCAGAGUCCUACGGGAGGCAGGAGUGGGGAAUAUUGGACAAUGGGCGAAAGCCUGAUCCAGCCAUGCCGGGUGUGUGAAGAAGGCCUUCGGGUUGUAAAGCACUUUAAGCGAGGAGGAAUGGCUGAGGGUUAAUAACCUUCAGCAGUGACGUUACUCGCAGAAUAAGCACCGGCUAACUCUGUGCCAGCCGCCGCAGUAACAC